UACGGAGGGUGCAAGCGUUGCUCGGAAUCACUGGGCGUAAAGGGCGUGUAGGCGGCUUCGUAUGUCUGACGUGAAAGCCCCGGGCUUACCCCGGGAAGUGCGUUGGAAACUGCGGAGCUAGAGUCCCGGAGAGGGAGGUGGAAUUCCAGGUGUAGCGGUGAAAUGCGUAGAUAUCUGGAAGAACACCGGUGGCGAAGGCGGCCUCCUGGACGGUGACUGACGCUGAGACGCGAAA
rnacentral:rRNA from 1 species